rnacentral:tRNA from 1 species
CAGGGAGACAACAAAAUGUUUAAUAUUAUUAUUUUGUCACCUUAGGUCGAUCGGUAUCUCACGUUCUUAAUUUAUUAAGAAUUUCAUUUCCUAAGUUUUUCUAGGUCACACCCAUUAUUUUUCCUGGGCCAUUAGCUCAGGUGGUUAGAGCGCACCCCUGAUAAGGGUGAGGUCCCUGGUUCAAGUCCAGGAUGGCCCAUAUCUCUAUGUUGGGGGUAUAGCUCAGUUGGUAGAGCGCCUGCUUUGCAAGCAGGAUGUCAGCGGUUCGAGUCCGCUUACCUCCACUGAUUACCACCUCUUCCAUAAUCGGUAGAAAAGGAAAUGUUUUGAGUUGUGAUCAAAUUCUGAAAGAAUCUAGCUUCCUAAUGAAAUCAUUAAGAUGCUGGACUCAUUGAAUUAAUUUCAUUGUUUUCAGAGAACCUUGACAACUGCAUAGAUUAUUUUUAAAGACAAUAAGCAUCUUUAAUGAUGCAGAUUUAUUAUUUGUGCGAAUGCAUUAAUAACAAUUCUAUUGAGCUGAUGCUUCAAUUUUGAAGUUAUU